UGUUAUGGCGGCUGUGUGCGGGGCACUUUCGAGUGCGCCGGGUUUUGCUAGCUCCCCCGGUCUGUCAAACCGCACAUAGCUGCCACCUGU
rnacentral:antisense_RNA from 1 species